GACGAACGCUGGCGGCGUGCUUAACACAUGCAAGUCGAACGGAAAGGCCCUGCUUUUGUGGGGUGCUCGAGUGGCGAACGGGUGAGUAACACGUGAGUAACCUGCCCUUGACUUUGGGAUAACUUCAGGAAACUGGGGCUAAUACCGGAUAGGAGCUCCUGCUGCAUGGUGGGGGUUGGAAAGGUUCGGCGGUUGGGGAUGGACUCGCGGCUUAUCAGCUUGUUGGUGGGGUAGUGGCUUACCAAGGCUUUGACGGGUAGCCGGCCUGAGAGGGUGUCCGGCGACAUUGGGACUGAGAUACGGCGCAGACUCCUACGGGAGGCAGCAGUGGGGAAUAUUGCACAAUGGGCGGAAGCCUGAUGCAGCAACGCCGCGUGCGGGAUGACGGCCUUCGGGUUGUAAACCGCUUUCGCCUGUGACGAAGCGUGAGUGACGGUAAUGGGUAAAGAAGCACCGGCUAACUACGUG
rnacentral:rRNA from 1 species